CAUGUCCUUUUGAUUAUAAUUUAAGGUCUGACCUGCCCAAUGAGGGUUUAAAUGGCCGCGAUAUUUUGAUCGUGCGAAGGUAGCAUAAUCACUAGUUUCUUAAUUGGAAGCUGGAAUGAAUGGUUGGACGAGGAAUUAGCUGUCUCAGUAUUAUUAUAUUGAAUUUUAUUUUUAAGUUAAAAAGCUUAAAUAGUAGUUGAAGACGAGAAGACCCUAUAGAGUUUUAUAAAUAAAUUUUUAUUUAGUUUUAGGGAUUGAUUUCUUAUUAAUUAUUUAUUUAUUUGGUUGGGGUGACAAAAAAAUUGAAUAAACUUUUUUUAUUAUUAUAUAUUGAUAAAUAGAUAGAUGAUCCAUUAGUGAUGAUUAAAAGAAAAAAUUACCUUAGGGAUAACAGCGUAAUCUUUCUUGAGAGUUCUUAUCGAAAGAAGGGGUUGCGACCUCGAUGUUGGAUUAAAGUUUAAUUUUGGUGUAGAAGCUGGAAUGUUUAGUCUGUUCGACUAUUAAAACUUUACAUGAUCUGAGU
rnacentral:rRNA from 1 species